GGAGGGUGCGAGCGUUGUUCGGAAUUACUGGGCGUAAAGCGCGUGUAGGCGGCCUUGCAAGUCAGGCGUGAAAGCCCUCGGCUUAACCGAGGAAGUGCGUCUGAAACUGCUUGGCUUGAGUACGGGAGAGGGAGGCGGAAUUCCCUGUGUAGAGGUGAAAUUCGUAGAUAUUGGGAGGAACACCGGUGGCGAAAGCGGCCUCCUGGACCGAUACUGACGCUGAGACGCGAAAGCGUGGGGAGCAAACAGGAUUAGAUACCCUGGUAGUCCACGCGGUAAACGAUGGGCACUAGGUGUGGGGGGUAUCCACUCCUCCCGUGCCGAAGCUAACGCAUUAAGUGCCCCGCCUGGGGAGUACGGCCGCAAGGUUA
rnacentral:rRNA from 1 species